AAUGCAGAUAAUUUUAUGAAAUCC
rnacentral:snRNA from 1 species